rnacentral:rRNA from 1 species
CGCGUAGGCAACCUGCCUUUGUGAAUGGGAUAACCCUUGGAAACGGGGGCUAAUACCGUAUGAUGUUCUUCUAUCGCCUGUUAGAAGAAUCAAAGAUGCUUUUGUAUCGCACAUAGAUGGGCCUGCGUUCCAUUAGCUAGUUGGUAAGGUAACGGCUUACCAAGGCCACGAUGGAUAGCUGAUCUGAGAGGGUGAUCAGCCACACUGGGACUGAGAUACGGCCCAG